UAAUAGGUAAGCUUUUGAAGAAACUUUGUCACGCUCUGAAACCGGCUACUGCUCCGGGGCUGUCAUCAUUCGUUUACCCUAAAUCUUGUGGUUUGGAUAAUGUUGGCGCAUUGGGGAAUAAACGUGCUGUGCUUUGCGGUGUGAGCUACAAAAAGUGGAAGUAUAAGCUCAAAGGGACCAUAAACGAUGUGUUCAACAUGAGAGAUUUGUUGAUUCGGUACUACGAAUAUCGGGAUGAAAACAUGCUAAUUCUCACAGGUAUUUUAUCAUAAACCUUAUGGGUUUUAAUUUAGCUUGUGUGACAUUGAUCCAAUCUGCUCAAUUUCAACCCAUCUUCUUGUAAUUUUCAUAUGUUUCCUAAAAUUUUAACAUUUUCUCGUAUUUGAAUUUGAAAAACGGAUUUGAUUAAUUGAAAAAAAAACAUAUUCUAGCUAUAGUUGAUCAUAAAAAGUCAAAUUUUAAACAUGUUCAACCCUAUUUUAAAUGUAUCCAAACUCUGAAACGAUAUUAAUCAAAAAUGACAAUAAUCCAAAAAUUAACUUGAUAUGAAAACUUUAAUCUCAAACUCAAAUGACCUAAAACUAAACAACUCAAAUCCAAAAAUGAUCAUUGAAAUAUAAAAUUAACUUAAUCUUGAAAUCACUUUAACUCCCAAAAUAGCCCAAGCCCCGAAUAACUUGCUCCGAAAACUCAAACAUUAAAUUCAAAUAACUCAAACCCUAAACAACCUAAACCUAAAAAUGACUUAUACCCUAAUCCGAAAAUUAAUCGAUCCAAAUUGACCCAAUCCAAACCAGACAGCCAAGUUUAAUUUGAACUCGCACAGUGAAAAUGGGUACCGUAUGUAUUGAACUGCAGAGGAACAACCAGACGCCAGGCUUAUACCAACGAAGGCGAACAUCGAGAGUAGCUUGAAAUGGCUGGUGAAGGACUGUCGUUCAGGAGAUUCGCUGGUUUUUUAUUAUUCCGGGCACGGCUUACGGCAACC
rnacentral:lncRNA from 1 species